UUUGCCCUUAUGUACACCUCCCGGCUUGCAUGCGCUCGUACCUUCAUAUAUCCUUUAAGCAAAACUUGCACCAAAAUAUGCUAAAUGAUACGAGCUUUUGGUGCCCAAGGCAAGCGAGGUCUUGCCACCCACAAUAUUAGCAACUUGGCUGAAGACUUGCUUCUAUGAAAAGUUGCAGCACAAAUUGUGAUGGCACGUGGGAGAGGAUAUAGCAUGGCUGGAGUACUUCACGUCACAAUUAUUCGAUUGUGGAUUGAUCAACCAUGGCUGAGAGCAGAUCAUGUGUGGCUUGACAUUCUGUGCAGAAGCAAGUUCGGGAGGUUAGGUGUGGUACUGCUACCCAAGGUGUGCCGGAUAUACAUUUGUUAGUUAUACGGUCUGGAUGAAUGGCACAUGAGUUUCCGGUGUCAAUUGUUAGGUAAUUGGUACAUUUUGUAUUGAAUGGAGCAGCAUUGCUGCAUAUCUACGCCACUUAGUGUCAUCAUUUUAGUUGGUGUGGCAAUAUAUUGUCAAUCAUUCAUACCUCUGACCUAAUUG
rnacentral:lncRNA from 1 species